ensembl:lncRNA
CUGGAUAGUGUGAGUGAGAGAGAGCGAGAAAGAGAGAGAGAGAGGGAGAGAAAGGAGUGAGGGUGUGAGUGAGAUGUAGCAGAGAGGUGGAGGUGUCGAUAACUAGGCUGUAAUCGACCUUGUUUAAAGCUGUGUGGUGUGCUGACUGUUUGAACUCCUCUGCUUGUUAUCAGCAGUCGCAGAUUUAAUUAAGGUGGCAGGCAGAUUUAAUGUCAAUUAGGCCCCAAAAUGAGUAUAAAAAGUGUGUUCAAUAAUAACGGAUGUGAGAAAGUCAGAAAAACAGAAACAGACACACAGCUUAAGAAAAUGCAGGAAGUGGGGAAAUAAUAUAAUGGGGGGAAAAAAGGUAAAAAUAUCAUGAUAGAAUAAAAGAAGGAGCAAAUUACAUUUGCCUGAGUUGGUACAGAGAUUGUGUAAAAUAUUGUGCCAUUAAUCUCUCUCUAACACAAUUUCUCUCAUUCUCUCUCUCGCAUGCUUCUCCCUAUGGAUUAUUACCUGCACCUUUUGUCCGAUCUCCGUGUUGCCGUGGGCAAUCAAUUGGAGUAUGCAAAUGCAGUAAUAAAGAAGACUUUCAUAUCAGGUCUGUCUGAAACUGAAGGCAGAUAAAAGAAUAGAUGAAUACCUUGAUGCUUUGCUGCCUGUGCUUUCAUAGGUAUGAACAUACCAAAUGCAGGAGGGAACAUUACAUCACGACUUUAUCGACAGCUAUGUACUGUAGUAACAUUAGAAAUAAUUGCUCAUCAGAUUUGUAAGCAAACUGUAAGUGGGUUAACAUACAUCAUGUUUGCUAGUCGCUAGGCUUGAUGGAAUGAAAUAUUUACAUAAUGGUUGGAAAUAAAUAGAGCACAUAAUCUGUGAUCUCACCAGCUAAAAAAGGGUUAAAAAAAGGGGUUAGGGUUAGGGAAAAUCCAUUUUCAUUCAUUCUUCUUCAUUAACAGCUUUAUCCUACUCAGGGUUGCGAGGCUGUCCCAGGAGCACUGGUGGGAAUACACGCUGGACACUCUGGGCACUGUGCAAACACACAUUUACACACCUAUUUACAUGCUCAUUCACACCUUGGGGCAAUUAAGUGUAGCCAAUUCACCUACAGUACCUGCAUGUUUUUGGGAUGUGGGAGGAAACUGGAGAACCUGGAUGAAAUCAACAAAUUCACAAAGAGAACAUGCAAAACUACACACAGAUGUUAAUCCAAGCUCAGGAUUGAACCAGGGACCUUGAGCUGUGAUGCUGUGCACUGUGCUAAUCUGUGGAAUCAAUUAAAAAUUAUUUAUCAUAUUAUACUGCAUAAACUAUACCUGUACUGUGUCUUCACUACUGUGCUGGUGUAGUACUGUACUGGCUCCUGGGAUCAAUCGGAUAUCAUUAAAAUUCUGUAAUUGAACCAAUUAAAAUGAAUCGUGCCUAUGUUGUUUAGUUUCAUAGAGAAUGUACAAAAUGUACUUAAACCUAACUCCAACCUUCUUAUCUUUUCAUAUGAACUGAGUCUCACACGUUGAUGCAAAUAACAUUUUUGACACACUCAUUUUCAACAUGCACUGCUUUUUGCCAUAUUUUUGUCAAAACAGUGCUGAGACAUGGAGAUGCUUCAACCCAAUAGUGUCCAACCUUAUCUGCUUACCUGAUUUUCCUUGUUUACUCAAUCGAUCUGUUUUCAAAUGAUUGAUUGAUGUUCUUCAGCUUGGUUAGAAUGAAAACCUGGAGUCACACUGGCCCUGUGCACAUAAGCCUGGACACCCAAUAAAUUGCUUUAGCCCUUGGAACUCAGAAGGGAAAUUCAGCACACCUGUCUAGUUUAUUGAUUUUUUUUUUUUCCAGAGGUCAGAAAACCACAAUAAAUGCCACCAUUAUCAUCCAUACACUACAUCAACAUGAUGCACAUGGAAAAGAAACAAUGUAAAAAAUAGAGAAAUAAACAAACCUUAAAUGAGCUAGAGAGUCUACUUGAGUGUCCCAUACAAUAGAUCCAGUCCCACUGCUGGGUUUGUGAGGAUAUAUAUAUUUAUAUAUUUAUAUAAUGAUGUAUUUUAUAUAGUACCGGCAGUACCAUCUGCCACAAGAGAGCUCAGUUUCAGUUUGUAUUGAGCGCUAACUCAGUUCAGAGCCAAGUGUCCGAGGCUCCGUCCGCACUUUGCAGGGGCCGGUUGCUAUGACAACUGGCACAUUCCACCACUUGAACUUUUCUCCUUUUGUUGGCAACACCCACCAGCACGUGACAGCUCAAGUUCAUCCUUUCCUCUCACUCUCCAGUUGAGGCCUAUUGCUGAAUUGAUGUCCACGAACGACAGCUCGCUCGAUGGCAAAAUCUGUUUUUCAGGGAACAGACUGAGCAAAGAACAGAUGCUACAUUGUGUAAAAUAAUUAAGCUGGUUUAGCUUACUUGCUGAAGAUAAAGUCCCACAUAGAUCUCUCUGACCAUUAAAAAUCCCUUUCUUCUGCAUCUGCAUCGGAAUAAUAAACCAUGAGUUUUUUUAUUUUAUAUUUAGGCAAUUAGUGACUUAGCAACACUUUAAGAGCUACAGUAGUAGGAUGAGAAGCUUGUAUGACAGUGAUGUUUAACAAAGCAAUAAUGUAAGGUUAGGCAUUUGGGGCAAACUGUAAUCCAGAUGUGUGGACCAUGUAACAGAUGUGGGUCCAGCUGCUAGGGAGGAAAGGUGAAGAAGCAGGAUUUGAUGGAGAGAGAGAGAGAGAGAGUUCAAUGCUUUUAUUUCCAAAUGUAUGUGUAUACAUAAAACAACAAGAAAGUCUAUGUGAAAGUCUGUGUGAACGUGUAUGGGGUGUAAAAGAAAACAAGUGUGAAUGAGUAUGUCCCAUUACACCUCAGAUUGUGUAGUUACACUGGCAGAGAUUAGCAUGUAGUUAAAUUGGAGAAGUAGUGGAGGAGUUAAACUGGAGGUUAGAGUGUAGUUAAACUGGAGGAGAUUAGAGUAGUUAAACUGGAGGAGGUUAGAGUGUAGUUAAACUGGAGGAGAUUAGAGUAGUUAUACUGGAGGAGAUUAGAGUGUAGUUAAACUGGAGGAGAUUAGAGUAGUUAAACUGGAGGAGAUUAGAGUAUUUAAACUGGAGGAGAUUAGAGUGUAGUUAAACUGAAUGAGAUUAGAGUGUAGUUAACCUGGAAUAGAUUAGUGUGUAUUUAUGAUGCAGGCUCCAGAGUCGCCUGAGAGCCACAGCACGGUUCAGCACCAGGCCAGAACAGACCUACCACACCAGGCCUAGUGUGUAUAUCUCUGUAUAUGUAUCUGUGCUUCUGAUAUAGGAAUUACCAGACGAGGGUUAUCCGGCUAACUGGAUGAGGAAAUUGUCACUAUUUGAGCAUAAACAGUAAAAGACUGUUAGAAUUAUUGAUUUGCAUCUGAAUAGAGUAGUAAGACUGGUGUUAUAUUUGAUUGAGUUAUUUUUUAAGCACUCAAAUAACACAUUUGAAAAAUGGCUCCAUGAGCAGUUCCUAAUGAGAUUAUGUUGGAUGGAAAGGGAGUAGAAUGAGAUAAAUGGAAUGGGUACAGGCUUCAUAACUGAGCAAGGCUCCAGCCUUUAUAUCAGUGCUAAUGCGCAGGCCUAAGGGGGAUACACCAUGCUGGCUUUCUCUUCAGGAAAGAUAUACUUUUAGUUAUAAACUCAUAAAAAGACUGCCAUUUACCUUUUCCUUCUCUCUUUGUUUUUUCUUUAAACAUUCCAUUAAAUCAAACAGCAUGAUGCUUUGAUGUUCCACAUUGCGCUAGUGUUACUACAUUUAGCAACAUCAUUCAAGCCAUGCUCAUACCCCCC